GACGAACGCUGGCGGCGUGCUUAACACAUGCAAGUCGAACGGAAAGGCCCUGCUUUUGUGGGGUGCUCGAGUGGCGAACGGGUGAGUAACACGUGAGUAACCUGCCCUUGACUUUGGGAUAACUUCAGGAAACUGGGGCUAAUACCGGAUAGGAGCUCCUGCUGCAUGGUGGGGGUUGGAAAGUUUCGGCGGUUGGGGAUGGACUCGCGGCUUAUCGGCUUGUUGGUGGGGUAGUGGCUUACCAAGGCUUUGACGGGUAGCCGGCCUGAGAGGGUGACCGGCCACAUUGGGACUGAGAUACGGCCCAGACUCCUACGGGAGGCAGCAGUGGGGAAUAUUGCACAAUGGGCGGAAGCCUGAUGCAGCAACGCCGCGUGCGGGAUGACGGCCUUCUGGUUGUAAACCGCUUUCGCCUGCGACGAAGCGUGAGUGACGGUAAUGGGUAAAGAAGCACCGGCUAACUACGUG
rnacentral:rRNA from 1 species